rnacentral:rRNA from 2 species
UGGGGAAUUUUGGACAAUGGGCGCAAGCCUGAUCCAGCCAUGCCGCGUGAGUGAAGAAGGCCUUCGGGUUGUAAAGCUCUUUCGGUGGGGAAGAAAUUGCUUCGGCUAAUAUCCGGAGUAGAUGACGGUACCCGCAUAAGAAGCACCGGCUAACUACGUGCCAGCAGCCGCGGUAAUACGUAGGGUGCGAGCGUUAAUCGGAAUUACUGGGCGUAAAGCGUGCGCAGGCGGUUGUGUAAGUCAGAUGUGAAAUCCCCGGGCUUAACCUGGGAACUGCAUUUGAGACUGCACGGCUAGAGUGUGGCAGAGGGGGGUGGAAUUCCACGUGUAGCAGUGAAAUGCGUAGAGAUGUGGAGGAACACCGAUGGCGAAGGCAGCCCCCUGGGCCAAUACUGACGCUCAUGCACGAAAGCGUGGGGAGCAAACAGG